AAUAGAUACCCCGGUAGUCCACGCCGUAAACUAUGGAUGCUAGCUGUAUUCGGUAUCGACCCCGGAUGUAGCGAAGCUAACGCGUUAAGCAUCCCGCCUGUGGAGUACGGUCGCAAGACUAAAACAUAAAGGAAUUGACGGGGGACCCGCACAAGCGGUGGAGCGUGUUGUUUAAUUCGAUGGUAAGCGAAGAACCUUACCCAGGCUUGACAUCCCGAGAAUCCUUCCGAAAGGAAGGAGUGCAUUUUGAACUCGGUGACAGGUGUUGCAUGGCCGUCGUCAGCUCGUGUCGUGAGAUGUUUGGUUAAGUCCAUCAACGAGCGCAACCCUUGUGAUUAGUUGAAUUUUUCUAAUCAGACUGCCCUGGCAACAGGGAGGAAGGGGGGGAGUGAUGGUCAGGGUCAGUAUUACCCUUACGCCUGGGGCUACAAACACGCUACAAUGGCCGGUACAAAGGGCUGCCAAGUCGCGAGACGGAGCAAAUCCCAUCAAAGCCGGUCUCAGUUCGGAUAGCAGGCUGAAACUCGCCUGCUUGAAGCUGG
rnacentral:rRNA from 1 species